rnacentral:sRNA from 1 species
UUCGUUGUUCUUGAAGUAAAAAAGAUUUGAAGAUGGCCCAUGUUCAUCUUGCUCAUAUUCUCUACAGGUUCUCAUGGCUGCAAUUUGGUUGGUGUCGCGGUGGAGAAUGAAGGACAAAAGGUUUCUUGUGGUGACUCUUGUAGUGCGAUCUUAGUGUUGUGAAUAGAUAGUGACUUUAGGAUUUAAUUGGGUUUCUGAAAAAUUUGGGUUGCGAUGCAAAAAUAUUCGCAAUUUGACUUCUUUGAGUGUCAUGAUUAGGGCUUGCGAAGACUGUUGGCUUGAUUUUUCUACAGGUUGCCAUGGAGAUGAACGAGGAGGAACAAACCUGGUUCUAAAUUAGGGUUCCAUGGUGGACUCGUGGUUGUGGUUGAUGCUUGCACAACUGUUGCGACUUGGACGAAUUGAGUUUCAAGUGAAUCUGUUUAUGGGUUUUCUUCUUUCUUUCCUCUGCAUGUUGAUGAAGAUGGAGAAGAAGUAAUGGCACGAUGGAGAUGAACAACA